UACGUAGGGGGCAAGCGUUGUCCGGAUUUAUUGGGCGUAAAGAGCGUGUAGGCGGCUUUACAGGUCCGUUGUGAAAACUCCAGGCUCAACUUGGAGACGCCAUUCGAUACUGCGAUGACUUGAGUCCGGUAGGGGAGUGUGGAAUUCCUGGUGUAGCGGUGAAAUGCGCAGAUAUCAGGAGGAACACCGGCGGCGAAGGCGGCACUCUGGGCCGGUACUGACGCUGAGGAGCGAAAGCGUGGGUAGCAAACAGG
rnacentral:rRNA from 1 species